GUUGGGCAGGUGGAUAGACAAAAUUUACAUGAAUAAAAUCCGAGCACAUGUGCUCUGCUGGAACCCAGCAAGAUGCUGUGGCGGUCAUUCUGUGUCCACAGACACAGAUACUGCUCUCCCUGGCUGACCUACAGCUGAGUGUGAGUCAGCUCUAGUGUACUGAACGGGCUCCUAACAGUGGGCAUCGCGGCUGUGAUUUUGCCCUACCAGAGACAGCGUUGGGUGGUCUUCUUACCCACAUGACUUUCACAAUGGCCCAGGUGCCCCCUGAGAUAAAUUUACAGCUCUAGGAUCACGGUGUCAGAGAACACGAACUUGGGUUUCCCAGAGAUGGUGUGCUCUGAACACUGGUGUCCCCACCCACAAGACUCAGGUGUUGAAACCUAACCCCAAGGUAGUGAGAGACCGGGCUUUGGGGAGGCACGAGGUCUCGAGGCUCUGCCCUGCAGACGAUCCUUGUAAAAGAGGCCUGAGGGAGUUUUUCUGCCCUUCACAAGAGCAAGACCUAAAGAAGGAGCCAUCCUGCAGGAACCAGCCCUCACCACACACUGAACCUGUGGCACCUGGUCUUGGACUCCAGCCUCCAGAACCGUUAGCGAUACCUUCCUACUGUUUAUAUCAUGCUGUCUGCAGUGCUGCACCACAGGAGCAGAGCAGAUGGAGGCACAUUUUCUAUUGCCUUCCAGAAGGGUGUGGACACCUUACACUCCUACCGAUGGUGGAUGAGAGGGCUGUUACCCUGCAGCCCCAUCAAACAGCCUCAUCAAACAGCCUCAUCAUGCUGGUUUUGGAUUGGCCAACCUGAUAAACCAAAGCCAUCUUGCUUUUGCUUAAUAAUCUUUCCCAUUUUUCUGAGCCGUGGUGAAGUGGAGCAUUUUUCCAUACCCUCUGAUUACAGACAUGUUUCUUCUUUGUAUUUAAAAUCCCUGUGUGUGUCCUUUGCUCACUGUGAGGCUGCGGUCUCCUUUUCCAAGCUGUAGUUUUAAC
rnacentral:lncRNA from 1 species